rnacentral:rRNA from 1 species
UGGGGAAUAUUGGACAAUGGGCGAAAGCCUGAUCCAGCCAUGCCGCGUGUGUGAAGAAGGCCUUAUGGUUGUAAAGCACUUUAAGUGGGGAGGAAAAGCUUAUGGAUAACACCCAUAGGUUCUGACGUUACCCACAGAAUAAGCACCGGCUAACUCUGUGCCAGCAGCCGCGGUAAUACAGAGGGUGCAAGCGUUAAUCGGAAUUACUGGGCGUAAAGCGAGCGUAGGUGGUUUAUUAAGUCAGAUGUGAAAUCCCUGGGCUUAACCUAGGAACUGCAUCUGAUACUGAUAAACUAGAGUAGGUGAGAGGAAAGUAGAAUUCCAGGUGUAGCGGUGAAAUGCGUAGAGAUCUGGAGGAAUACCGAUGGCGAAGGCAGCUUUCUGGCAUCAUACUGACACUGAGGUUCGAAAGCGUGGGUAGCAAACAGGAUUAGAUACCCUGGUAGUCCACGCCGUAAACGAUGUCUACCAGUCGUUGGAUCUUUUAAAGGCUUAGUGACGCAGUUAACGCGAUAAGUAGACCGCCUGGGGAGUACGGCCGCAAGGUUA